rnacentral:misc_RNA from 1 species
GGUUCGAUUAUGGCUCAGAUUGAACGCUGGCGGGAUGCUUUACACAUGCAAGUCGAACGGCAGCACGGACUUCGGUCUGGUGGCGAGUGGCGAACGGGUGAGUAAUGUAUCGGAACGUGCCUAGUAGCGGGGGAUAACUACGCGAAAGCGUAGCUAAUACCGCAUACGCCCUUCGGGGAAAAAAGCGGGGGGACCUUCGGGCCUCGCACUAUUAGGAGCGGCCGAUAUCGGAUUAGCUAGUUGGUGGGGUAACGGCUCACCAAGGCGACGAUCCGCAGCUGGUUUGAGAGGACGACCAGCCACACUGGGACUGGAGACACGGCCCAGACUCCUACGGGAGGCAGCAGUGGGGAAUUUUGGACAAUGGGGGAAACCCUGAUCCAGCCAUCCCGCGUGUGCGAUGAAGGCCUUCGGGUUGUAAAGCACUUGGCAGGAGGCGAAACGGGCACGAUAAUACCCCGUGCAACUGACGGUACCCGCAGAAUAAGCACCGGCUAACUACGCCAGCAGCCGCGGUAAUACGUAGGGUGCAAGCGUUAAUCGGAAUUACUGGGCGUAAAGCGUGCGCAGGCGGUUCGGAAAGAAAGAUGUGAAAUCCCAGAGCUUAACUUUGGAACCGCAUUUUUAACUACCGAGCUAGAGUGUGUCAGGAGGGGAGGUGGAAUUCCGCGUGUAGCAGUGAAAUGCGUAGAUAUGCGGAGGAACACCGAUGGCGAAGGCAGCCUCCUGGGAUAACACUGACGCUCAUGCACGAAAGCGUGGGGAGCAAACAGGAUUAGAUACUCCUGGUGUCCACGCCCUAAACGAUGUCAACUAGCUGUUGGGGCCUCUGGGCCUUGGUAGCGCAGCUAACGCGUGAAGUUGGAUCAGUUCGGGGAGCAUAUCAGGAUUAAAACUCAAAGGAAUUGACGGGGACCCGCACAAGCGGUGGAUGAUGCGGAUUAAUU